GACGAACGCUGGCGGCGUGCUUAACACAUGCAAGUCGAACGGAAAGGCCCUGCUUUUGUGGGGUGCUCGAGUGGCGAACGGGUGAGUAACACGUGAGUAACCUGCCCUUGACUUUGGGAUAACUUCAGGAAACUGGGGCUAAUACCGGAUAGGAGCUCCUGCUGCAUGGUGGGGGUUGGAAAGUUUCGGCGGUUGGGGAUGGACUCGCAGCUUAUCAGCUUGUUGGUGGGGUAGUGGCUUACCAAGGCUUUGACGGGUGGCCGGCCUGAGAGGGUGACCGGCCACAUUGGGACUGAGAUACGGCCCAGACUCCUACGGGAGGCAGCAGUGGGGAAUAUUGCACAAUGGGCGGAAGCCUGAUGCAGCAACGCCGCGUGCGGGAUGACGGCCUUCGGGUUGUAAACCGCUUUCGCCUGUGACGAAGCGUGAGUGACGGUAAUGGGUAAAGAAGCACCGGCUAACUACGUG
rnacentral:rRNA from 1 species